GACAGAGGGUGCAAACGUUGUUCGGAAUUACUGGGCGUAAAGCGUGCGCAGGCGGUUCGUUGUGUCGGCGGUGAAAGCCCCGGGCUUAACCUGGGAAUGGCCGUCGAAACUGGCGAACUGGAGUGUGGCAGAGGGGGGUGGAAUUCCGCGUGUAGCAGUGAAAUGCGUAGAUAUGUGGAGGAAUACCGAUGGCGAAGGCAGCCCCCUGGGAUAACACUGACGCUCAUGCACGAAAGCGUGGGGAGCAAACAGG
rnacentral:rRNA from 1 species